GAAAGUUGUGAUUGAUGUCAGAGAUAGAAGGAUAUAGAAUGUAUAGAUGAAGUAGAAAUGAUAUUGAUAUUUUCACAGAUUUAUAAUUGACAGUGAGACAUAUCAAUGAUAUUUAUUUUCCUGUUAUUAAUUAUUGCUUUUGAAUGUUACAAAUACUGUUUAUUUCCAAAGAUACGGUAAUCCAAGAAUUGUUGAUAGUUGACUGUUUAGUGAGCCCCAAUUUAUAGCCGUACAUAUUUCUUCCUCUCAUAAAGUUCUGACUUCUAUUGUUACCUCAGUAACAUCCUGUUGUAGUGGGCACUCGGAUUCAGCUUGUUUAGAUUUCUUUCCUAGAACUUGCUGUCCAUGACAAAGAUGAUAAUCAUUAAGAUGUAAAUUCUCAUUUUGUUGUUUAUUGUAUGAAUGUACCAUAAAUAUUUCAAUAGGAACAUGCAUGGUUAGUGUAAUAUCAAUUAAAAUGACAUAGAGGGGCUGAAUAAAAGAAAAAGCAAG
rnacentral:misc_RNA from 1 species